CACCUCCUAUGGCGAUGGGAAACCAACAACAGAUGUGGCAUCCACCGCCUCCCCCUCAAAUGAGGCCUCCAAACAUGCAACACCCAUCAAUGCCGCCACCUCCUCCACUUAACAACCCACCCCUACCGCCUCCCAUGAGUUGAAUGACCUGAACUAGAGCAGUUAACGAUGGUAUGGGAUGCUUGUUUCAAUUUUUUUGCCUGUUAGGAAUUUGUAAUGUCUAAAUUAGUUGAAACAUGUCAACAGGAUUGCCUAGAGGCAGUUUCUUUGUCAAUGCAUGCCAAUCUCUACAAUGGGGUUUUCGAGAAUAGAAAUUCUAGUUUACUUGAAUUCAGACUCGAACUUUGUUUUUUUGUUAGUUCAUGAUAACUCUCAACGGUACUUAAAAAGUUUUGGAUGGAGAGUUUUUCUGUAUGCCAUAGAAAACCCCAAAUUCCUGUCUUUCAUGUAAUGACGAUAUAGCAGUAUAUUUUACCCAAUGGAGUCCUCUAACUAUACUACUAGGUUUUUGCAUUUAAACCAAUUGUGCAUUAGUACUAUUACGUAUCAACCUGGGGAUCAUAUUGCAUCUGGUAUGGUUGAGAUCAGAUAGGGUUAACAAUUUUGGGAUCUCAAUAUGUUCGCUUUGCUCAAGUUUUCUUGGUGUGGGCUACCUAUUGUCACCAUAUAUAAGGAUUAAACUAACAAAUGUUAGUUUUGUGGAGAUUAAAAUUCGUAGUUGUGAUGAAUACAUGAGCAUUCAAAUCGACACAGCCUAAUGAUAAUUUGUUACAGAGAAGCCCAAGUCAGAGAGGCCUCUUUCCGAGAUCAGAGAUAGAGACGAAUAGAGCAUCGGCGACAAUGAGAAUUUUGCAGCCUCUGCCUCUCCCACCACCGAAUUUAUCACUGCGGUCACUCUCUUCAUCAGCUUCUGCUUCUGCAAGGGUCUACUCAGACCACCUUCUCACCUUCUUGGUCUGCUUUUAAAAGCAUACAUAUUAGCUCCAGUACAUCUACAUAUAGUUAAGUUGUGAUGCUGAUAAUGAAUUGCAUAGAUGGACUCAGUCACCUGUUUCUUCAUCAUCAGGACUCUCCAAUCCCGGUCCAAUGAGCAUAGUAUCCUAUUUGUUUGCUGUUGGAGUCCAUCGGAGAGGAAGUACGUGCCCGGCAUGACCUCAUAGAACUCGGAUCUCUCCACCAGUAUUAACUGUUACCAAUCACCUCCCGCGAACAUGAUCUUUCUUGACCAUUAUUAGCAUCUGUUCUAAAACUCUUGUAAUCGUCGUGCACAAUGUGGAUCCCCCUCUGCUUCAUGUCAAACUCGGGGGAUCUCGUGGAUAGACUGGAUACUGCAAUAGUUAUAUGUUGGUCAACUUGCUUAGUUGCAGUCGAUUCCCAAACUUCUAAUGGUUUAAUUAUAUUAUCCCUUUUUAUAGCGUGACGGGGAAUAGCCUUAUCUCAAACCCUUGCUCUUAUUCUGAACUUUGGUUAUUAGCGGUUCAGUACAACUUGUCUUUGCAUAGACAGAGCUGUUUAAGCCUCUUGGAUGUUCUGAUUGGAAAGUGGAGGCACAGUGAAGGAUAUUGAGGACUCUCUACUGCUUGUAUGGCUGAACUAAUCCCCGAGCCUCGAUUAGAUUUGCUGGAAGAAAUGUACCGAAUAUGCAAUAUUCACAGAGUCCCUGCAGCAUAUGUCAAACAGACCUGGAUAUCAUGGGAAGCACUUCCUCCAAUCUAACGAAUAUAUGCUAAUGCUAAUUAGGCUUCCUUGAGAUCUAAGUUAGAGGCAAAACCAAAAGGUUGAGAAUGAGUACGUCAACCCUUUGGUCUAUCCCAAUGGGUUCUAACUAGCACCGCUACUGUAUCUCAACAAGUUUGAACUUUGGAGCGGCCACGAGUAUGCAUCAUCCUAUCCUGUUUGAGACUUUGGUAAGCACGUAAGUAACUGAAAUGUUACCUUCUCCGAAUGAGUAACAUUCAACUGCAAUUAUGUUACUCUUGGUAGACCUAUAAGGGACUUGCGACGUGCAAAAAGCCGAAAUCCAAGGUGAGUCAGCCCUGUAACUCUUAUGCACUUCGGAAUGCUGCAGCUCGGGUUGAAGCUUAGAUUAAAUAUCAAUGAGGGUAAUCACCAUUCAACAGUAUCUGUAGGAAAACUAUUAUCAGACAGAUUGAAUUGUAGGGGAAACAAUCCUGUAACGUAUUUAGACUUUUCCAGGCCUGGUGCAGUGAUCGAUUUAUUGAAAAUCUUUUACUCAUCACCAUUGGAAACUUUAUUAAAACUAGGACGAUCAAUAUACUAAGAGUUUCAUGUUUCUUUAGCAUAUCAAUGUUAUUUAUUUGGAAGCAUUCUGAGUACUACAGUCUUCCAGAUUCCAGUGAACGAGUUUCUAAUAGCAUGUAUUGGAAUUUGGAAGCAAUGAAGAACACUCAUGAAUUACUAUAGCAUGUCCCGCCUCCCGACGACAAACACUAGCUGACGAUAUCAAUACUUCUAACCAGAAGAGCAGCUGGAAAUAUAUGCUUGUAUAUAAACAGCUGGUGGACAUGGAUGCAAACUUCCAUUAUAUUCCUAACGUAAUACAACCAGAUAUGAUAAGGCCAUAAGGGUUUCAAGUAAUUUUAACCUAGAAAGGUUCUUUGGCAGCUUCCUGAUAUUUUUGCAAUCUCUCAUAUUCAGGUAAAUAAGUAAUCUCAAGCUUGCAAAUGGGUUCAUGGACAUCAACCAGGCUAGCACAAUCUAGGCAACUAGAAUGGCUCAAAUCAAGGGUCUACAUUGAUGGAAGACAUUGGGGAAAAAAAUAUAGAAAGAAGCAAGGGAAAUCUAUUUUUGUAAGUUGUUUAUUUAUAAUGUAAUAAGUACGUAAUUACAUUCAAUAAUAUAGAGACAGUUUGUAAGUACGUAAUUACAUUCAAUAAUAUAGAGACAGUUUGUAAAAACCCUUGUUGAUGAAAUUGGUGAUAUGUUAAAGGUUAAAGAGUUUAACUACCAUAUGGGUCCAUAUAUUACUCCAAAUAAUCAUUGAGUUUAACAGUGUAGUCCCCUUAAGGCCUAUGCUCUGUCUCUUUCGGAGUACCCUGGCAAUAGGAAACCUAGGUUUCUUUGACGCGGCGGCGGGCCCCGUGCUUCGUCGUUCCAACAGUGGUAAGAUGGCGGCAUUGCCGGCAAAGCUUUUCAUAAAGUUUCAGCAGAGGCGCUCUCUGGGAGUUGAGGGUGUUGUAGGCGGACGUGUUUCGACGACCUUUGUCGAAGCUUCGUGAACCUCCUUGUCGGCCUGAAUCUAUGGCAACUGCGAUGGAGGCUGAAGACUUAGAUGCUGGUUACGAGUUAGAUCUGGCUGUGGUGGUGGCUGUUAUGGUGCAGGCCUACAUGUCAGAGAUUGGAUUGGAGCUUCAAGCGUGGCAGGGUCUCAUGGUGGCCGGGGAAGCCGUCAAAGAGGCUGACUUAGCUUCUACGGCAAGAUACCCUAACCUAGGGUUGACCACGGCUGAGUUGACUGGGCUGGAUUUGGUGUUUGGACUCCCACAUGUGGGAUCAGAUGGGUGUGAUUUUGGGCCCACUAAGGUGCAUUCGGCUGCGGUUGGUGUUAAGGCUUGCCCUACUACUAUGGGCACGGGCAAGACGUAGGUCUUGGGUUGUUCUCAGCCCGAACAUCAGAGUUAGUCUUACUACUUAUUUCUUAAGUUUAUUAGGUGUACACCAAUUGAGGUCUUAGACAGCUAUGGGCACAGGCAAGACGUAGGUCUUGGGUUGUUCUCAGCCCAAACAUCAGAGUUAGUCUUACUACUUAUUUCUUAAGUUUAUUAGGUGUACACCAAUUGAGGUCUUAGACAGCUAAUCUAUUCUAGAGAUUUAGGUAGUGAGACUGUGUUCUAUUGUUUCGGGUUCUUUUUAGCCUAUGUGUAAUCAGUAAAGGUAUCUGUCUUGGUGCUUGUAAGCCUCCCUUAACAUACUUUGUAGAGAACGGCAUUUUGAUGUACGUGUCUUUUGGCCAUUGAUUAAGCAAUAUAAGUCAUCAUUUUCACAAAAAAAAAAAAAACUACCAUAUGGGUCCAUGAUGCAGAGGUAUUGUAUGGUUGUGUCUACAGAACAAUGUGUGAAGAGAUUGAAGUCUUUAACGGUGCUUUUUACUAUAUAUCAACGACGAUUAAUACAAAUUUCAGGUUUAAGAUUUUCGGAUGUUAAAAGAGAGAUUCGUGAGCAGAGGGAUAUCUGUUAAUAGUUAUCUAUGAAUGAAUGAAGACUUUGUACGAGCUGUAGGCUGUAGUUAAACUUAUGUUACGCAACACGAGAGCGUAUUCAGUGCACCCGGGUGCGCCGCUCACCCGUCCAUCUCCGCCUUCCAUUUGACGCGGACUUUUGACUUUUUCAAAAUGGACGGCGAAGAUGGACGGGUGCGCGGCGCACCCGGAUGCGCUGUAUAAUUUUCAACGCAACACAUGAAAAGUUCGCCUUUUGCCUUAAACAUCACGGCGCUUUUUAGUCCAAGUUAAUUAAGGUAAUAUUGUUGAAAGAAUGUUUAACUUUGUGUGUGAACUGGUCUAAUGAGGAAUCCUGAUUAGACCAAGUUACCAAGUAAUGAUAGGUUACCAAGUUAGUAUAGAACUAUGUUUCCUUCUAUAUACCUAAAAUGUACCUUAUAAUUCUCUAUAUAAAGGCUCCUAUAUAGUAGUUGAUACAUAUAAAACACCAUGUUUUCAUCAUAUGACGACGACAUGAGAAGGAAGAGAGGUCCUAUACGAUCAAGGUGGUCCGACCUCCCUCCUGAACUACUCGAGUUGAUCAUGAAAAAGCUUGCUUCAGUAGACAUCCUUCGCUUCGAAGCUGUCUGUUCUCGUUGGUGUAAGACUGCAAAGUCUUAUAUCUCAUCCCCAUAUUUCACACUCGACAUGCCUCAAACCCCAUGGCUUAUGAUUCCUGGUGGUGAAGGAAACCACAUCCACACUCGUCGCUUUUUCAACCUCUCAGAGUUCAAGUACUACACUAUCAAAAACACGUUUGGAUAUAUGCCUGAUGCAUGUUGUAUCGGUUCAUCACACGGGUGGCUGGUCCUUACGGAUGAGAAAGCGAGACCUGCUCGUCUUUUGAAUCCGUUUUCUGGAGAUAGGAUUGACCUUCCCUCAAUAGGGUGGAGGAGCACAAUUUUUCUAGGCAUGAGCAGAGAUGAUGUCGUUAAAGUUGUCACCUCCUCCAAGCCACCAUCGGAAGAGGACUUUGGUGUUGUUGUUGUUGUUGUAAUAUUAAACUCUACGACUAUCGGGUUAUCACAACUUGCUUGCUAUAGGCAUGGACACGAUGAGGGAUGGACUAACAUAAGUACGGUAGUAUCCUAUGCCUAUCACGACGGUAUAUUCCACAGUACAAAUGGUAAUUUGUAUGCAUUGGCAACCGAUGGCUCAGUUGAGGUUUGGGACAUGAGGCAGUGUUCUCCCAUAACAACACUUCAUCUGCAACCUUUGUCACACCAACUAGACAUUGAUCUCAAAUUAUUAAUACCGUGUACGGAUUCCAUGUUUUAUUUGGUGGAGUCCUUGGGUGAACUUUUGUUGGUGAGACGAUUUAUAAGGAAGACGACGGACCAUCCCGGUUACCCCUAUAGAACCGUACACUUCAGUAUCUAUAGGCUUAAGUCCAUUAGCAAAGGGUUCGAGUGGGAGAAGGUGGAAAGUUUGCACAAUCAGUCUCUCUUUCUGGGAGGAAAUCAUUCAAUCUCUUUGUCUUGCCACAGCUUGCCAGAGUGUGAAGAGAACUCAAUUUACUUCACGGAUGAUAGGUGGUGGGAAAUGAACAAGAAUGGUAAGUAUGGAGUUGGCAAUAUCGGGGGUCAUGAUCUUGGAGUAUACAACAUAAAAGAUGAUAUUGUGAAGCCAAUGCCGUGUUAUAUGAGAUUUGAUCGCUCUAGUAUCAAUCCACCGCCCUUUUGGAUUGUUCCUGACAUAAUCCAUGGAAGCUAUAGUUUAAGAAACGAGAUUAUCCAAUUCACAAGAUGUGCUUCACUGGGGAAACGAGAUUAUUGGCGCAAUUGCUAAUUCACUGCAGUACCAUAAGUACAUUUCUAGAAUUCAUCCUCUUCCAAAUAGUUGUACGUACGUUGUAAAGAUUUGUCAGAAUAUUAGAGACCCGGAGGCCAUAUUAGGGUUUGUAUUUGUAUGUCAUAUAAGACUGAAACAUAUGAUGCAGACGCUAAAACCAUCAUCCAAUAACAGAUCUUUUCAUACUAACGUAAACACAUGAUCAACAUCCUAACAUAUAUGCGUUCAUAAACAGAAGAACAUACAUUGAUCAGCAGAAAGGAGUCAAUAACACAAAGACAAGUCUUCUGCGUUUCAAUAUCAAGCUACAGAAUGGGGCUGCAAAAACUUAAUGCUUAAAACCGAUAUUGAACACAGGGACUUGGCCUCUUUUAUAUAGUAAUCACAAACCGGAUUCAAUCCCAUAACCAAAUCCUUAUUGUACUCAAUGUUAACAACUGUAAAGGUAUGAUCCUAUCACAAUACUAAUCCUAUCAGAAUUGGUCUUUUAUGUCAUCUGAUAGUGUUUCAGUCCAAUUCAGUUCCAACAAUCUCCCACUUGGACUAACACUCUCUGUAAACUAACCAAUGAACAUUUCAAUUUAUAAACAACAACUAAAGUGUGCACUUGAAGCAAAAGAAAACUCCUAUAUAGUUUAUUCAGCUUUUGUCAAUAUGCAGCAUCUGCAACAGAAUUAAUCAACAUGGCUAGAGAUCACUUACAGCAAGUACUGCACUCACAUAAGCUCAUGAGUGAUAUAGUGAUAUAUAGAUGUCAAUACUCACAUUCCAAACUUCAUGAUUUUAAAAACUUAAUAAAAUCCUGUAUCAGCAAAUACCAGAAACUUUACAAAAACAAUAUCUUGCUUAACCGUAAUAACAAUAUGAUAUAACUGUAGUAAUCAAAUUCCAAAAACGAAACCACAAAAUUAUGACUAAAACCUUUAGCUACCACUGCAGCUAACAAAGUCUUAUGAGAUUCUGAAUCUUAACAUUGUCUUAAAGCUUAAAGACAGUAUACACAAGUCACAACAAUAAUAAUCAUUAGGCAUGACUUAAUCUAGUUAAAAACAACCAACCUUACUGGCAUACAAUUCACUUAAAUUCCAUGGAAAACAAAAUGUAUUUGUAUUGAAAAUGCAUUAACAAUAGAAUCAGUCAAGUAACCAUAAUAUAUACAGAAUUAUCCAGCAGAAAACCAUACAGUCCAUACUGUAUAGUUUUACUAAAGAUUAUUUCUGAUGAAACAAAAACCUGCAAAUAACAGAAUAAUCUACAGCAGUACAAGACUAAAAGGUUACUGAGAGAAUAAAUCGUAAUCCACCAAGGAAAAUACUCCCACUGACCAUAAGGAUUCCUGUAACUUCCAGAAUGCAAAUGCAUAUAAUACAAGAAUCAAAAGUCGUUCAGUUUUUCAGCUGUUUACAAAUCAUAUAUCACCAAUAUUGAGAAUUAACCUUAUCAUAAUGCUUAAAGAUCUUCCCUGAGCCACAACAACAUCAUUUAUUCAAGAUACACGUAAAAACUUUAUUGGCUGAAAAACCAUAAUUCAAAAUUUCCUUAAUCUCUCACCAACAAGAGGAUAUCCAUAUUCCUUCCUUAUCAGUAAACCGAAAAGUGUCAAACUGUCAAUAUAUAGAAGACAAAUAGAAUAUUUUACUCCCACUGUUUGUUACUCUUAACCUUUUGUAAUUAACUCUGAAAAUAAGAGAAUCCAUAUAACAGUGACAAUAAUAUAUAAGAAGACAGUUGCAGAUUUUCAGAAGACUGAAUUCACAUGUGUGAGGAUCAAUUCAAGUUCAAAAUAAAACAGCUUUGGAUCAAUUCAAGUUCAAAAUAAAAACAGCUUUAAUAAUAAAAACACAUGGAAUCCUUCCUCCCUGUUUUUAUUAUUUAUUCAUGCAACAUAUAGAGAUUAGUAGUCAAAAAGUCAGCUUGCUUAUGCAUAAACAUUUCACAAUACAUGUUUGUCUUUUGAAAAUGCAAAAAUCUGCAACCAAUUAAGAUUUUUUUUUUUUAUGAAAAUUUUGAGUAGAACCUGUAAUACUACUUGAAAUUUAUAAGCAGUAUAAGUAGCCAAAAAUAUAUGUAUCAAGGAAUUGAAAGUUACUCAUGAAAAGUGACAUAACUAUAUAUCAGAAGAAAACUGAACCUUUAUAAAAAAUUGACGGAAAUAGGAAAACACAGUCUGCUGUAUUUUUCCCAAAACGUGUAUAUUACUAGUUACUCAAAUGUAGUACCAAGAAUAUGAAAAUUAGCACCCAAAGAUUCAUUUAAAACAAUAUAUUCGUAAUUAUAUUGAUACAGAAUAAUGUAAUUUAUUUAUUAUACGAGUCCAGCAUGUUAUCAUGACAAAUUCAUGUGUAUAUAACCAUAUAUAGUAUCAUGCUAUAACAAAAACAUGUCCAACUAAGUAUAAUGUACAUAAUCUCAUACACUGAGAACAGCCUAUUACUAUAGGUUUAGUUGCUUUCUGCACAUAAGAAGAAACUGAUAUUCUUAUUACUAGCUCCCCACAGAUAAAGCUGAAAUCAUAACUAAAAGAAAUUUUGCUAACCUGGAGAUCAUAAUCCCUUUUUUCAACAUAAGACGAAAUUACAAUAACACUAGAAAUUAAUACAGUUUACAAGCAUCAACAACACAAGCACAAACAGAAUAAAAAUCACAUAUCUGAAGGUAAUACUAUGCAACAUCUUUGUGGCAGAAGACAUAGCAUUCUAAACUUCUUUAUCAUUACUCGGUAUCAGUAGAUUCUAGUUAUUCAAAAGAAACAGUCAACACCUUGGAUAGAGAAAAGUUUCAAUUGAAUCCAAAUAAAAAUCUAGAGACUACAUGGAAUGUUGUUCAGCAUCUAAAAUUAGACAAUGAACAACACGAUUUCCAGAAUAUCACAAAACAGUGUUAAUAACUAUAUGUUCCAGUUUUACCUUUUGAACUUUAUUAAAAUGGCAUCUUAAUUGUCAAAAACAUAACAAGACUGAAGUUCAAAUUAUAGGAGAUUUGCUUAUUCUGAAUUAUAGCUCCACAUCUCUACUGCAGCAACAUAUGAUUAUCCUUUUUUUAAUUCUUGUUAACAGCCCACAUCCAUCACAAGCAAAAGGAGUGUUCAUUAUAUCAUACAAGCCACAUGAACACAAUUCUUAACCUCAUGAAUCAAAACGCACAAACCGAAAAGUCAAACAAAAUCCACACAAGAACCCAAAUAUAUGCAGAUUUCAUAUGAAAAUAAGUUAGAUACGAUUAAGUACGACAAUCCUUCCAAAUGCAAAAUUGAAUUGCAAGUGGUCAAAAUUUAAAGAGCAUACCUCUGCCAUAUUGCUGCCUCAAAAGUUAGCGGAAGCAAAUAGAAGGCAGCAAUCUGAUCCCUUCAAAAUUGGGCGCCUGAAUGGGGCUUGGAUCCCUUUGAGAUGUUGAGUCUCUUUGCGCUCGUAUAACCCCAAACUCCAAACCAGAACACAUUGAAGAGACAACUUCAUCCGCAGUUAAAUGCAAUUGGGUUUGUAGCUGAUCAUUGACAUGCAACAGCUCUUCAUUGCCUAGCUGCUAAGAUUAAUUGACAAUGAUGUCAGGCAAUAUAGUAGUCAUUAUUUGAGAUAAGAAUACUCAAUUCUAUUGUAGGAUGUAAUUUCAGGAGGAACCAAAAACCUGAGAAACAAAGCUAGAAAUUGGCCCUGACAACAUAACUAUGUGAUCUUGAUCAAGCAAGUAUUCUAGGCUUGCAGCUAAGAGCAUGACCAACACCAAAUAACAAACACAGUAGAUGAACUUAUGACUCUGACCAACUGAAGUGCAUUUGAAAUGAACUUAACCAAUUGUUCCUUUUGAUUUGUUAAAUUAAAGUCUAACAGCUGACCUUGAAGUUUCAGCUGGAGAUAACUGUCUUCCUAUGUCUCUCUGUAACCAAAUCCUUCUCUUACUUGUUUACCUGCAUUGUCAAAAAUUCGACACCAACUUCAGUAUGAUCCACUUUCAGAAAAAUAUAUCCAGCAACUGCACACCAACUUAUACAUGACCAACCAUGGUAACAAUAUUUAAACCAUACCUUGCUUACUUCCUUUACGGCAAACAAUAGCUUUUCCCCAAUGAAAUCUUUGAAGAGGUCAUCUUCCUUCAAAGCUUGAAAUGACUCUAAGAGUAACCAUUGUAUUACUGGAAAAUUUGACAACUGCAUCACUGGCAGUAAUCUAGUUCAGUGCAGAUGACACACAGAUUUUAUCCAAAGGCAACAGCGAACAACAGAACAUGAUAAAAGCCUUAAACUCUGGAUUGUCAUAUACUGUAUAUAUAGAUCAAUCCAACAUGUGCAUGAAACUACACAUAAUUCAGCUCCAUGCCAGAUCAAAUAUGUAUACCAAGAUAGAUUCCGGAGCUUCAUUCUACAUCUGUCACUUGAAUGAAGUAGAUGUUCGAUAAAAAUUAACAGAACAAUAAUCAAUGUCCGAUUUUAAGAAGAACAACAAUCAGCCACACAUAUUAUCAAAAAGCUCAACAGAUGCACCAUAUGAAUAACCCAUGUCAUCUAGAGACAACAAUAAACAGGAAGAUGAGGAAUUAACUUGAUCCAUAACUCCAAUAAUUAAUAUCCAACAACAUUUGAAACAAACUGUUCUCUAAUUGAACUCAUUAACUAACACUUAAAUAGGAACCAAAAGCAAAUUCUGAGGAGGACACAUUCACCACUUCAAACACCAAAUCUUCUCAAGCAGGAAGGCCUUCGAAUCAUCCUGGAUGGUGUCAACGGUUUCUUCACGGCAAGCAAUUGGGAACAUCUUGACUUGUUUAGACAGCAAUUCGACUUGAAGCUUGAAAUUUGUCAGAUAAUUAUCAAUGGCAGAUGAGUCGAACGAUGGAACUGGGAUGUUUGAAAGUGAAAUUCGCUGCAGCCCCCAAAUCAACUUCUCAAAUUCAUUGAGAAUCAGUUGGAUAUCAUUCUCAUUAGCAGCAGAGUUGUCAGAUGCAUCAGGAAGCCGAGACAUGGCCCAAUCCAUAACAGAGUAAAUUUUUCUGACCACCCGCAGUUGUUCAUUCCCAGACACAGCCUUGCCGAGAAAGUUGCGAGAGAACCUGGUUGGUUAGACUGGAUCAAGAUCAGUGUUUGAGGGAAAGCCGGCUCGUACGGUGGUAGCCGUGGCUCGUUUGGUGGAGGAACAGAAAGGCUGAGCUGAAUAGAGCGGUCGUCUUCGUCUUUCAGCUCCGCCAAGCUUCGAAGGGCCCUCUUGCGACGGUCCGUCGGAGACGCCGUCAGGGGAAACAGGUUGAGAGCGACCCGGUUGUUCCUGAAAGAGAAAUUGUUAGAACUAUUACUUGGUUUGAAAAAGCCCAAUAAAAACUGAGCCAAAGCCCAAUAACAAGCCCAACCCAAUAGCAACAACUGAAACCCGAAAUCUUCUUCGGCGAGAGAAAGACGAGAUCUUUGAAACCAAGAACAGUGUAAUAGCAGAAAAGCAAGAAACUUUCCUUCCAGAUUAGACUAACAGAGGAAAGCUCAGACCUUUGAAACCAAAAAAACACUGUAAAACCAAAGAUUGAAACUUUCAUGUAGAAAGUUGAGACCUUUGAACGAAACAACAGUGUAAUAGCAGAAAAGCAUGAAACUUUCCUUUCAGAUUAGACUAACAAAGGAAAGCUCAGACCUUUGAACGAAAAACACAGUAAAUGAAAAAAAAGCAUGAAUUUUUCAUGUAGAAAGCUGAGACCUUUGAACCAAGCAAAAGACAGUGUAAAUGCAGAAAUAGCCUAAAACUUUACCUGGAUGAUGAAGCCAUUGCAGAGAGUAGAGAUGUUGCUCCUUACUCGGUGGACAGGGUAAAGAGAAAGAGAAUGGGAGACAAGAGAGACUGAGCUUUUAAACGAGGCAGUGGAACCGUCUGUUUUGUCUGUAUUCAGCUCGUACGGAACAGACUGCAGAGCUGUUUUUUCUUUUUUCAAUAGCAAGUCAAAUUUUAAGGGUCGGGUCGGGUCAGUUCCGAAACCAUAUGGUUCCAAAGAUUUUACAAAAGCCCCCAAAACCCAGCCACCUCAUCAUCAUCUCCUACUCCAAUCCUCUCUACCUCUCAGCUCUACAUUAUCUUAGUUAGCUUCGCUAGAGUAAACAAAUGACGACUCGAAUCGCUCUGGGAGUCGGAGCCAACAAUCAACACUCUGCUUACGUCGGCAAUCUCGACUCUCGAGCAGCUUGGGUUUUGCUUGUUUCAUUGCUUGUCAGGUUAGUGAAGAACUGCACUGGGAGCUCUUUGUUCCAGCCGGCCCUGCCGGUAUGUAUCCGAUUAAGCCCUGCUUCUGCAUUUAGAUUAGUUCUAUAUCCAUGGAAGUGGAUGGAACUGAAUUGAUGAAGAUCGGAUUAAACAUGCUAAAGAAAAUGUGUGCUUAUUUUCCGUGCAUUUAAUGUGUAUGUUCCCAAGGAUAGAGUGACAAACCUGCAUCAAGGAUACGGAUUCGUGGAGUUCCAAAGCGAAAAGGAUGCCGAUCAUGUAAGUUUCUUCGUUUUCUCAACUUGUUCUGUGGCUUCCUGUUCUCUGGUAGAGUUUUAUGUUGUUGACUAUGAAGUUUCUUGUUUCGACUGCUGUGCAGGCAAUCAAGGUGCUUAAUAUGAUCUAGCUUUACGGCAAGCCUAUUCGUGUAAAUAAGGUGAUGUAAUUCUAUUUCCCGUAGCUGUUGUUAUCUGUGUGUUUUGUGACACAUAGGAAGGCAGAAUAAUAGUGUAACAGGGCUCUGGGAAAGCAUUCUGCUUUGUCUCUGUAUGCCCUACUUAUCCUUUGAUGUGAUGAAAUUCUGAUUGCUCGGGGAAAACAUGCAGGAUGGGUCUUGUUGCCAGUUUCUUUUGUUUUCUAUGCCAUCUUAAUUGUUGACACUCAUAUGGAAUUUAUACAGACAUAUUGUUAUUUCUCUUUUGUAGAUAAUGAGAGACCCUGACACUGGAAACUCGUGGGGAUUUGGCUUCAUUAGCUAUAUGAUUCCUUUGAGGCAUCUGAUGCAGCUAUUGAGGUAUGCCUUUCCCUGCCCUUUAUAUUGGUCACUUAGCUGAAAAGGUACAAUUAUAUGGAUGAAAAAGUCUAGUCAUCUAGUUUUUUUUUUUUUUUAAAGUGCAUUUAGCUAUAAACUCCUAACAAACAAAUUUUAAGAUUAAUAUUAACUAUUACUAGGGUUCUACUCAUUUGUAAACUUUGAUUGCUAUUAUUCUUGAGGCAAUUAUUUUUAGUUUUGGUUUUGAAGCCUGAAUUUGAACUGUACAUGCAUCUACUGAUAUAUCUUCACUGUGUUAUGCUAUGCUUGCUGAAAUGGUGGCUUUUUCAUACAAAGUUGAGUUAGUGCUUGAUAUCUUCUCCUUGUUUCCAGGCAAUGAAUGGCCAGUAUAUGUGCAAUCGUCAAAUAACAAUGUCAUAUGCAUAUAAGAAAGACAUGAAAGGGGAGUGUCAUGGUACUCCUGCAGGUGAGGCCUCUUGUUUACUGAGCACCUGCUUUUCUGUUUGUCUGAUGUCAUUAUAGAUGGUCAAUCAUUACUGAUUAAUCAGAUACUGUUAUUGUAAUUACAUUGCAGAGAGAGGUUUGGCUGUUAGCAAUCCUACAUCAAAAGAGCCGGCUUCACACACUCUUUGCUAGUGGGCCUCCAACACUCCCCAAUGGGGCUCAGGCCAACGGUGCCAUGGGUGCUCCAAGGCCUCCGCGUCCCUUUGCAAGUGGUGGUGUUGGUCCAGGUCUGAUUCCCCCACUUCGGCCACAACCCCCUCAAGGUAUGGGUUUCCCGCCAAUGCAGAUGGCAAGGUCAGCCUCAACAACAGGGUCAACCAAUGAUGCCUCCACCGCCAAUGCAGCAGUUCAGACCUGCUCCCCCGAACAUGACACCACCCCUAACACAGGCCGCUCCUGCUCCUCCACGGUCUCUUCCACCUCCUAUGGCGAUGGGAAACCAACAACAGAUGUGGCACCCACCGCCUCCCUCUCAAAUGAGGCCUCCUAACAUGCAACACCCAUCAAUGCCACCACCUCCUCCACUUAACAACCCACCCCUACCGCCUCCAUGAGUUGAAUGACCUGGACUAGAGCGAUAACAAUGGUAUGGGAUGCUUAAUUCAAUUUUUUUGCUGGUUAGGAAUUUGUAAUGUCUAAAUUAGUUCAAAC
rnacentral:lncRNA from 1 species